CAGAGUUUCACAUCUCUCCUGCUGAUCUGUGAGCAACAUUUAAGAUGCGUGAAUGCACUGCCCACUCUAACCAGUGUUGGUUGUUUGUCUCAGACACCAUUGGAGAAGAACGAAGCAGACAGAGGACAC